UGCCUGGCUCCCUGUAUGCCAU
rnacentral:siRNA from 1 species